UACGUAGGGAGCAAGCGUUGUUCGGAUUUACUGGGCGUAAAGGGCGCGUAGGCGGCGCGGUAAGUCACUUGUGAAAUCUCUGGGCUUAACCCAGAACGGCCAAGUGAAACUGUUGUGCUAGAGUGCAGAAGGGGCAAUCGGAAUUCUCGGUGUAGCGGUGAAAUGCGUAGAUAUCGAGAGGAACACCAGAGGUGAAGACGGGUUGCUGGGCUGACACUGACGCUGAGGCGCGAAAGCCAGGGGAGCAAACGGG
rnacentral:rRNA from 1 species